rnacentral:lncRNA from 12 species
GCAGCAGAUGAAGUAACGUCUGCUGGAUGUCGAUGGAGAAGUGUGUUUAACAGGGAACAUCCUGCAGCACUUACAGAGAGGAUCUGUUAAAAUGCUGCUCGCCACAGGAAGCUUAAUGCAAAAACAUCAAAGACUGUGGAGAGACGAGCAGCAGCUCAAACGCUUGUCAGGAUCAGAGCGCUCUUCAUGACCGGAUGGACGUGGUAGAGAAGCGGGUGGAGGACACUCUUCAGAAGCUGGAGGCUGAGCUGGCUCUUCUGCUGGACGCUGUUGAGGCCCCUGAGUGGAGCCCCCUGCUGGACAAACCACUUAUCGACAUACUGGACGAGCCGCCGGGUGAAGUAUGAUCCUGCCGUUUCUUCAUGAGAUCGCACACAACAAUAAAUGGAUAGAGCAGCUCAU